UCCUUUCUUUCUGUCGCUUCUCCUCUUUUCUUCUUUCUUCUUUUACUACUUUCUUGUCUCCUGUCUUUGCUCACCCUCAUACCGUUCCUCCCUCUCUCUGCUCCCCUCCCUCUCUCCUCUCCAGAUCCUAACCUACACAGAGGGCCUUCAUGGUAAAUGGCUGUUCACAGAGAUCAGGGCUGUCUUCUCCAGACGUUACUUGCUACAGAACACUGCUCUGGAGAUUUUCAUGGCCAACAGAACUGCGGUCAUGUUCAACUUCCCAGAUGCAGGCACGGUCAAGAAGGUGGUCCAAUGCCUCCCUCGCGUGGGGGUGGGCACCAACUUUGGCCUCCCACAGACCAGGCGUAUCUCCCAGG